CUCCCGGCACCUUUCUGAAUUCACAACUAGCCCUGGCACUCUAGGUCUUGGUGUGUCUCUGGAUGUAACCCUUCUAGGUCAUAGGAGAUGGUGUGCACAGGUCUGCUACUCACACAGCGCCGGAGCCGCAGUCUGAGGGUCUUCAGCUUCUCCCCCAGGGAGUUCACGUGCUCCUUGACAUCUGGGCUGUGGUUCUCUGCCUGGGGCAUCACCUCCACUAGGUAAAACUGGAUCAUCUCCGACAAGGCUUGGCAACCCAGAUGGGCAAACAGAGAUCCAGGGAGGAAAAUAACUUUUCCAGGCACUAAAGAGGAUCAAUGGCAAAGGCGGAAUCGGAACCCAGUUCUCUUUCUCGAAAUGCUCAGCUGCUAGAUUUGGAUGAACCUGUUCUUGGACCUGAAGACUUAACAUGGAAAAGAGGUUUAGAUCUCCACAGCCCAAGGGCAUUACGGGAGCACAGAGAAAUCAAUCAAUCCCAGAGCAGAAAGAGGUCUGGCGGAGGUACUUAGGACCCAGCAUUUAGUCCUGAUCCUUGUACCACAAAACCCUGGACAAGUUCCUUCUUAUCCCUAGGCCUUGCUUUCUGAUGUUUUUCUAAGAUAUUUUCCAAAUCUAGAAUUCUGUGACCCAGCCUCUCCCUCCCCGGACUACUCCCCUUGGCAAGACUUAGUUGGCAUGCUGGGUUCUGAUGCGCAUUUCCCCUCCCGCUGCGAAAUCCCCAGAUCAGCACAAGAUCAGUCCCUUCCAGUUCAGAGCUCCUGCCCAGACCUGGAAGUGCCACCCUGUAAGAGAAACAAAAGCUUUUCCUCAGGCUGCUUUUGCGUGUGUUCACCUGUAUUUCCUUCUCGCCAUCCUGGCCCCCAGCGCUUUGAGGUUGCAGUUUCGAUGUGAGUCAAGUGUGCUGAGAGCAGUGGAAACCAGAGAGGCCUCAGCUCAGCGAGAGGACAUGAUGCUGCCUUUUCCUCAAGAGCGAGGCCGGGGGAUGGGGAGCGCGUGGGAGGGAGGUGACCACCUUCUGAAAGUGGAUUUUUUCGCAUUGACUGUAUCAGGGAGGAAAGAAUAUUACUGGAAAACCCUAGAGAGCACUUCACAUCUUGUUCUGAAGGAUCUUCACCUUCUCAAGAAAUGAUCCGCGCUGUGCUGUCAAAUGUUGGUACCAUUUUGAUGUGCUUUGAGGAGCAAGAAUUUUUUUGGUGGGGUUGGCUCGUGAUGUGGGACUCAGACAAUGUUUUCCUAGUGGAGGUGACCCUGAGGUGCUGGAUCCCCAUGACAGAGCAUGAUAAGGCCAGUUUGGGAGGUGUUUCAGUCCUAAGGCUUGUCAGCAGCUAUAGGCUUUGAAGCAUCAAAGUCUUCCCACCCCUUCAUCAUAUUCUGUGGGAAAAAGGAAAGAAGGCACAGAGAAAUGCCAGUGCAGAAACUAGGAAGUUUGACCAUUAUGGACGAACACUUGUAUCAUGCAAACCCUGUGAAUCAGCAGAGUCUCAGAUCCAUGAAGGAAGCCCUGUGGAGUGAGCAGGAGGCCUGAAGACCCACAGAACAGAAAUAAAGAGUGGGAAAGAAUCCACUGGCCACCCCCAAUUUAGAAGUGCCUGUUAGCUGUAGAUCCAAAUGACAACCAUUGGUUCUUCCUUACCUCUGCUGGGAAAUCCUUUGUGAAAUGACCGGGAACUUCUAGAGAUCCAAGGAGUACAAACUGUAGAGGUGGAAAGGGAGCCAUGGAAAAGAGGCAGGAGCCUCUUCAGUCUGUGACCCAGAGGCUGAGUUCCAUGCAGGGCUGGAUGGUGAGCUGGGGUGGGUGGAGAGAAUUGACCAUCUGGAGCACUUGGUUAAGCAGGGCAGAAGACAGAGAUUCAAUGAGGGGCUUAGAGGAGUCACUCAGAGGGGAAGAGGGAGGGACUAACCAGAGAGGGGUUGUAGGGAGAGGGACUAGAGCAUGAUAGGAGGUGACACAAUACAACUUCGUCUAUUCAAAUGUUGCUUAAGCCUGGUCAUAUGGUCCAUAGGAGAAAGUAACUCCUUUGUAAAUCUCGUGGAACUCAGCUCCCAAGAACCCAAACUGAGGGUUGGGGUUAUUUAUAGUAUGACCCAGUUGCAUUGUAGGCUAGGAACAAAUCAGCAUUUAGAAAAGAAGUUUUCAUGAAGAUAUUAUUCCAGGUGGGAACAGUGGAUCAUGAUCAUUAGAAGAUGAUCCAUUGCUUCUGCUAUAAUCACUGUAACUACUACCUCACUAGAACUACUAUGGCCUUCACUAUUAGAACAGCUAUGACUGUUGAUACCACCACAAUUUCGCUUUCCCUUCUAGGCCUCCAGAAAUGACUUUGAACACCCAAAGGUUGAUGCUAGUGAAGGAGGGUCCCCACUGGUAGGGUCCUUUCUGUGUGGGUGGAGGUUGCCAGGGAUUAACAAGGCAGGGGCCUUAGUGGAGGCUAAUAGCAGGUGGUGGAGGGGAGUGGUAUGUGAAGCUUCUGAUCACAAUGACCACAGCUGGGGCUUCUGUUUCAUUUCAUGGAAAGUCAGAGGGCUUUAGAGUAAACUGCAGGGGAGGAGGAGAGACUGGGUUGUAGCAGGUCACAUCUAGCCAGAGCUUGCAUGUGUAGAGCCUGCAUUGGCGAGAAAAUUGGGGUCAAGGCUGCCUGGGCGACUGUAACUGAGAUCUGAGUCUGUGGAAAUGGUGUGAGGGAUGCUGAGCUUUUCACAUUGACCCCACUGUGGCUCCCUGCACUUACCACCCUAGUUGAGCUAAAGGCCAUAUGAAGGUUCAACCCAUAGCUGGUAGUUACCACUGACAACGUUCUGAGUGCAACCAAGUUAACUCUUUACAUGCAUCGUCCCCUCCAUCCCAGGCCACUAGAGAACAGAAUGCAUUCUUAAAGUCAUUUUAGAUUUCUCCAGAUUACCAAGCCAAGCUCAUCGGUCUAAGGCACUGAUUUCAUCACCAACUCCAUCUUCCUGAACCUUCAAUGGCUGGCCAGUGCCUUCAGAGCAGAGCCCAGUCAGCUAGCUUGAGGUUUGCAUCUCCCAGUGUCUUGCAAACUUCUUUCCUAAAGAUUCUUCACCCAAGAUAUCUGGCCAGAACAGAGGGCCCUCACUAUUAUCAGAUGAUGCCUCCUCACUCUCUCUCUCUCACUUCCUUGUCUCCACUCAUGGCCUGCAAUGAUCUUCCCCUGUCCCUUCCAGUUCAGCAUCACCUCUUCCGUGAGCCUUUCAUCACAACUUUGACCCCACUGAGAUUUCAUUAAAAGCAAACAAACAAACCCUCCAGCACUCAGGACUGUGGAGAGCCAUUCUCACACGUGACUGGGUGACUCCCGGUUUGGGUCUGAGGCGCUCUGACUAAUCUGUGUCGGAGCUUUCCCGGCCCUCUCCUGAUGAGAGAACCCGUCCGUGUGGGGGUGUGACUGACCACUGACCCUGGGGGCCCAAUCACUGACCCUGACCUUGGAGUGCGGCCCCCCCUCAACCUUCAUUGGAUGGAAUUCUCCCCUGAAUUUCUUGUUCCCCAAUAAAAGGCUACUCCCUGGCGUGCUCUCUCUCUCUCUCUCCUGCUAGCCCUGAGUAAUCCUUGCUGCCCUACGGGUGGUUCGGGUGGUUCGAGGUUGGAGCCAGAGAGGGGAGCUGUCUCGGACCUGGUCAUAGAAAAAGGUAACUGAGUCUGUGUGUUUUAUUUCGAUCUCUGCUAGCUAACUUUUAUGCCAAGAACCUCAUUAAUGAAACCAAUGCGCUGGCCGCAUGGUGGACAGGACUACUUGGUGGUACUCCGUGUGCACUACCUCAAGUUGUUUUUCCUGUGCCAGGGAA